rnacentral:lncRNA from 13 species
UCCCUCCCCGGGAGCUGCAGCCGGCACUGAGGCAGCUGUUACUCCAGUAAAGAAGAGCUGAGUCUAAAUCUUCAAGAGAAAUUCGAAUUCUCCAACUGCUCUUCUGCAUCAAGGAUCUCCUAGACCAUUCCCAGGUUGGAGGAUUUGCUAGGAGGAAUCACAGGACUCAGUAUACAGUCAUCUGCAUGGCUAUGGUUUAUUUCAGCAAAACACCACAAAGCUAAACCAGUAAAGAGAAAAUACACACAGGGUAUUGUCUCAAGGAAACCAGGCAGAAGCAUCUAAGAGUCCUCUCCCAGUGGAGUCACAUAGGACAUGCUUGAUUUCUCCAGC